CACACACAGCCACAUUCCUCUGUAAAUGUGUGUGUGUGUAUGUGUGUGUGUGUGUGUGUGUGUGGCAAUCAACAUUACUGGCAGAAAAUACCAACGUCAACAGGAAUGUUUGGAAGACAAAACUUUAAGAGCAGAGCUGUGUUCAUACACACACCAUUCCACUUUCUACUGCUGCAGCCUGCUGGACUUCCUGCACAUCCUGCACAUCCUGAAUGACAGACGUCUCGUCCAAUCAGAGUUACGUGCAAACAGCAGCCAGUGUGCAGGCCCUCAGGCACGAGUGCAAACAGCAUAUCACCUUCCUGACAGCCUUCAGUCACACCGACAGCCAGUGAAUAGACUCCUGACAGAAGACAGAAGAGAAGUGCUCACUCCUGAGAUGUAUCUUAAGAUUAUGAUCGAUACAUGGAAAUAUUAUCAAUUCCUUAAAAAAUAGAGUAAUUUUUUAAAAAAACAGGUGGAAAAUUAAUUUGAGAUCUUAACAUAUAUGUUUAAAAAACGGGCUUAGAUUUCCCAUACAGAGCUUUCAACUCUUUUUUUAGAGUAUAUGUGCUGAAGCUUGUUUUUAUAUUUUCGGAGGAAAAAUUUAAAAGGAAAAUAUUUUUCUUGAAUUAUAUAAACCAAUUAUAACAUGUUUAACACAGAACGAGGCAUCAGAGGAAACACCGGGACUUUCCUCAUAGAGUUGAAAGCGGCGGGAUGUUGUUCACAUUUCUUUACUGUGAAAGCGCACUUUCUUACGCACAAAUGGAAAACAAUGUGUGCUUGCUCAAGUUAAUUACUCGCAUGAUUGAAGUCAUAAAGCAAUCUAGCCUUUAAGCAACUCUGCAUGUUUCCUCACUCUCUAUGUCAACAUGUCAGUAUUAAUUCCAGAGUGAAGACUAGCUAAAGCUAGCAUAAUUAGCACUAUUGUCCUGUUCCUAAAUUAAUCUAGAUGAUAAACAUCAAAUUAUUCAAUCUUCUUUUCUUGUCUGGAAAGGAUACAAAAUCUACAACAGAUGUAAAUUCCUCAUUCCAGUCAAGACACAUCCUGAUAAAACUUAAGAUAUUACAGCUUAGGAUGAUCAGAUUCAUGAGAACAUGGUGGAAGACAACCUGGAAGACACCCAAAAUAGUUUAUUAUAGGGAUGUGCUAGCUUAGUGGUUAAGGAAUUGGACUACUUGGAAGGUUGUGAUUUCGGAUCCUAGGUCCACCAAGGUGCAACCGCUUGGCCCUUGAGCAGAGCCCUUAUAUAACCCUCACCUCAGUUAUAUAAAAAAAAAUCUGAUAAAAAUGUAAGUCUCUCUGGAUGACUUCAAUCCUAAAUAUCCCAACAAGAUCGAUCUGGAAUAACCUGACAAGAUCGAUCCAGAAAAUCCCAACAAGAUCGAUCUGGAAUAACCUGACAAGAUCGAUCCAGAAUAUCCCAACAAGAUCGAUCUGGAAUAACCUGACAAGAUCAAUCCAGAAUAUCCCAACAAGAUCGAUCUGGAAUAACCUGACAAGCUCGAUCCAGAAUAUCCCAACAAGAUCGAUCUGGAAUAACCUGACAAGCUCGAUCCAGAAUAUCCCAACAAGAUCGAUCCGGAAUAUCCCAGUAAGUUCGAUCCAGAAUAUCAUAACAAGUUUGAUCCGGAAUAUCCUAGAAGUUUGAUCUGGAAUAUUCUGACAAGAUUGAUCUGCAAUAUCCUGGCAAAUUUGAUCCAGAAUAUCCCGACAACUUUAAUCCAGAAUAUCCAAACAACUUCAAUUCAGUAUAUCCCAACAACUUCAAUCCUUAAUAUCCUAAGAACUACAAUCUAGAAUAUCCCAACAACUUCAAUCCAGAAUAUCCCAACCACUUCUUUCUGGAAUAUCCCGACCACUUCAUUCAGGAAUAUCCCAACAACUUCAAUCCCGAAUUUCCCGACAACUUCAGUUCAGAAUAUCCCGACAACUUCAAUCCAGACUAUCCCAACCAUUUCAUUCCGUAAUAUCCCGACAACUUCAAUCCAGAAUAUUCUGAGCUCCUGCAUGGAAAAGUGCAAUGAAUCAUAUCUCAAUGUUCGAUGGAAUAUGGUGUGAAGUGAACACGGUAUGAUGGGAAUCAUUAUUAUGACAGGUUAGAACUAUUAAAAUAUAUGUGUGAGUCACUUUAGAUAGUUUUCUGCCUUUUAGGCUUGUAGAGGCAGGUGCAAAACCACAUUACACAAAGUUCACUUGAUUCGUAAGCAUCGCUGUUUAACUAGCUUCACAAGUUCAACAGUUGUCCUUGUUUUUCCUCGUAAGUUCAAAAAUAUCACAUGAUACAAGUACUUUCUUCACUGAAUUUGGUGCAUAGUGAUGAUCUCAGUAGUGUGAGGUUUUCUAUAUAAUUCACAAUGAACCAGAAUACUUAUUUUAUUUAGCUUAAAUAUUUAUUCCUCCAAACCUUUCAAUUCAAUUCAAUUCAGUUUUUUUAUGAGUAUAACACUUUUAUCAACAGACAUUGUCUCAAAGCAGCUUUACAGAAAAAGUUCAAGAUUCAUAUUAGACUUAUAUUUAAUUUUAUUUGUGUCUAUUCCUAAUGAGCAAGCCUGAGGCAACUGUGGCAAAGAAAAACCCACUGAGAUAAGAGGUAAGAGGAAGAAACCUUGAGAGGAACCAGACUCUAAAGGGAACCUCACCCUCAGUGGGGCUAUAGAGUUUCCAUUAUGCCAAUAUGUGACACAUUGGUGAGAGAGGUCAGAGAGAAUGGUCAAACUGGCUCGAGGUGACUCUACGGUGGAUUCUUUCCUCUGAUUGGACGAGACAUCUGUCUCUCAAGAAGUAGAAAAAGGAAGUAGGAAAUUGAAGAUUAAAGAUUAGUUUGCGAUCUCUAAAAAUACAGCAGGUACUUUUGAAAGACAAAACUAUUCCAGAUUAAAGGAUGUAAGCAAUUGGUUAUUGUGUUUUGCACUUCUUGACCACCAUAUGACUCAAACAACCACACUUUACAUCAAUGCUGAGCAGAAAAGCAUCUCAGGAUACACAAUCUUGACGUGGAAGUGCAACAACAGCCAAAAAUCAUCCAAAAACAGAACGUGAGUCUACCACCUGUACAAACUCAGCAAAACUGAGAUCCAGUUUGUUUUAACAUUAAGUGAAUCUCUUGACUUGUAUUCUCAUUAUUCCGUUAUAAAUCAUGGUGGUGGCUGCAGUAGUUAAAGUCAUGAUUAUUAUUUGGAGAAUGUUCAUGUCAGUGAGGGAAUGGAUCUCUGGAAGUCCAUUGUCCACUUUGUUCAUGUUCCUGUCCAGAUAUUUUAUAUACUUCAAGAUUUCAGUUUUUCCCUGUUCUCCUAAUUAAACAAAAGCACUGCACUGUGACAAAAUCUGGACAGCAUUAAAUCCCUCUCCUGACCAGUGUGGUGACCAGUAAGCAUAAAGCAUCCAACCAGCAGUUUGUUAAACACUGUGUGUUUGCACACACUGUUGUUUUUAGCUGUCACACAGGUAGUGUGUGUGUAUGAUAUAGAGUAUAACAGGAAACAGGAUAUGUCUGAAAUGCAUUAAAAAGUGAUCUAUGGUCAACACUCAUACAACUAUGGCUGAUUCUAAAUAAUCACGGAAGUUGACAUAAAAAAAAAAAAAAAUGCUGACCUCACUGAGACUGUACAUUAUCACAGCAUUACACCAAGGUUUACUCCAGUUAAAUCUUCCUGGAGCAGAGAUAUAAGUAACUUAUUGUGUUAUUAGGGGGAAAAAAGGCGUAUCCCAGUGCCAGUAUUGCUAUGAUUCACAUUUAAUUUAACCUUGACUCUGCAAAACCUGCUAAAUGGUAUGUGAGAUGUAGAGAAAGAGAAGGAAACUCCUAGAAUGAUCGUACAACAGUUUGCACUUUAUACAGUGAUGAACUUGUUUUCCUCGUUCUCUAAACUUUAUACGUGGUCAGGAGAUGAAAAGUUUAAAGAGAAGGUUUUUAGAAAAGUUAUAUAUUGACAGACAUGCAGACAGACAGACCGACAGAUGGACAGACAGAGAGACAGACAGACAGGCAGACAGAGAGACAGACAGAGAAACUGACAGACAGACAGAGAAAGACACAUUAAUAUUCAAACAUAAUAUUGAAUUUCUUUAAAUUAAAUCUAUAAGGCAAUUUUGAUUUCAGUCACUAUAUUAAUAUAAUAUCACACAAUAAUAUCACUAUAUUAAUAUUUUACUGUAUUUUUCUCUAGAGGCUAAUAACAUACUCUACCGAUAUG